rnacentral:rRNA from 1 species
CCUACGGGAGGCAGCAGUGGGGAAUUUUGGACAAUGGGCGCAAGCCUGAUCCAGCAAUGCCGCGUGAGUGAAGAAGGCCUUCGGGUUGUAAAGCUCUUUUGUCAGGGAAGAAACGGUUGGGGCUAAUAUCCUCGGCUAAUGACGGUACCUGAAGAAUAAGCACCGGCUAACUACGUGCCAGCAGCCGCGGUAAUACGUAGGGUGCAAGCGUUAAUCGGAAUUACUGGGCGUAAAGCGUGCGCAGGCGGUUUUGUAAGUCUGUCGUGAAAGCCCCGGGCUUAACCUGGGAAUUGCGAUGGAGACUGCAAGGCUUGAAUCUGGCAGAGGGGGGUAGAAUUCCACGUGUAGCAGUGAAAUGCGUAGAGAUGUGGAGGAACACCGAGUGGCGAAGGCAGCCCCCUGGGUCAAGAUUGACGCUCAUGCACGAAAGCGUGGGGAGCAAACAGGAUUAGAUACCCUGGUAGUCCACGCCCUAAACGAUGUCUACUAGUUGUCGGGUCUUAAUUGACUUGGUAACGCAGCUAACGCGUGAAGUAGACCGCCUGGGGAGUACGGUCGCGAAGAUUAAAACUUAAUAGAAGUUGACGG